rnacentral:rRNA from 1 species
GGGGUGUUGGAUUACCCGGUUCAAGCCUGUAGUCGUGGUCCUUAGGCAAAUCCGGGGACCUUAGAUGAGGGGUGAUAACGAGGAAGCUUGCUUCUGAAGUGAGUGAUACCCUGCUUCCAAGAAAAGCCACUAAGCUUCAGCUACACACGACCGUACCGCAAACCGACACUGGUGCGCGAGAUGAGUAUUCUAAGGCGCUUGAGAGAACUCUGGAGAAGGAACUCGGCAAAUUGACACCGUAACUUCGGAAGAAGGUGUGCCCCUAGUAGGUGAAGUCGUACAGACGGAGCCCAAUGGGGUCGCAGAUAAUAGGUGGCUGCGACUGUUUAUUAAAAACACAGCACUCUGCAAAGACGAAAGUCGACGUAUAGGGUGUGACGCCUGCCCGGUGCUGGAAGGUUAAAUGAUGGGGUGCAAGCUCUUGACUGAAGUCCCAGUAAACGGCGGCCGUAACAAUAACGGUCCUAAGGUAGCGAAAUUCCUUGUCGGGUAAGUUCCGACCUGCACGAAUGGCGUAACGAUGGCCACGCUGUCUCCUCCAGAGACUCAGCGAAGUUGAAAUGUUUGUGAUGAUUCAAUCUCCCCGCGGAAAGACGGAAAGACCCCAUGAACCUUUACUGUAGCUUUACAUUGGACUUUGAACAGAUCUGUGUAGGAUAGGUGGGAGGCUUUGAAACCUGGUCGCUAGAUCAGGUGGAGCCAACCUUGAAAUACCACCCUGGUGUGUUUGAGGUUCUAACCUUGGCCCGUUAUCCGGGUUGGGGACAGUGUAUGGUGGGCAGUUUGACUGGGGCGGUCUCCUCCCAAAGCGUAACGGAGGAGUUCGAAGGUACGCUAGGCACGGUCGGAAAUCGUGCUGAUAGUGCAUUGGCAUAAGCGUGCUUGACUGCGAGACUGACAAGUCGAGCAGGUACGAAAGUAGGACAAAGUGAUCCGGUGGUUCUGUAUGGAAGGGCCAUCGCUCAACGGAUAAAAGGUACUCUGGGGAUAACAGGCUGAUACCGCCCAAGAGUUCAUAUCGACGGCGGUGUUUGGCACCUCGAUGUCGGCUCAUCUCAUCCUGGGGCUGUAGCCGGUCCCAAGGGUAUGGCUGUUCGCCAUUUAAAGAGGUACGUGAGCUGGGUUUAAAACGUCGUGAGACAGUUUGGUCCCUAUCUUCCGUGGGCGCUGCAAGAUUGAGAGAGCCUGCUCCUAGUACGAGAGGACCGGAGUGGACGCACCUCUGGUGUAUCGGUUGUCACGCCAGUGGCAUCGCCGAGUAGCUAAGUGCGGAAGAGAUAACCGCUGAAAGCAUCUAAGCGGGAAACUCGUCUCAAGAUGAGUCUUGCCGGGGCCUAGAGCCCCCUGAAGAGUCGUUCGAGACCAGGACGUUGAUAGGUCGGGUGUGGAAGCGCAGUAAUGCGUUAAGCUAACCGAUACUAAUUGCUCGUGAGGCUUGACCCU